UGGGAACGUUUCCUGGGGCUGCGUGGCUGUGAAACACCCACUGGCAGGUGUGUAAAAGGAAGCUUCUGCCCACAGCCCAGGAGCAGCUCAGUCCAGAUUCUUCGGCUUCCCUCAUCUGCACACAAGAGCAGUCUGUCCACACCCUUCCUGGGCACCCUGCUCCCCUCUGCAGCCGCCUCUGCAUCUUCCCGCCAUCCCAGGCUGACAUGGACAAGUCCCUGCUCCUGCUGCUGGGAGUCUUGCCUUUCGUGCUCUUCCAAGGAGUGGCUCCAGCCACGUUGUGUAAGGUCUGCAGUAUUUUUAAGAAGGACAAAUGUUUGCAAGGCGAGGGUAACUGCACCUCUGAAGAAGGCCCGGGAUGCAGAACUUCGGAUAUAUACUUUUUCAAUGUGAGAGAUGCGUGGCGCUACAACCACACUCAACUGGACUGUUAUGAUAAGUGUAGAGCUUGGAAGUUGA